rnacentral:rRNA from 1 species
UAACUGUGGUAAUUCUAGAGCUAAUACAUGCACCAAAGCUCCGAAUUUUUGACGAGCGCAUCUAUUAGAUUAAAACCAAUCGGGUUUCGGCCCGUUUGUUGGUGACUCUGAAUAACUAUGGCUGAUCGCAUGGUCUAGAACCGGCGACGUGUCUAUCAAGUGUCUGCCUUAUCAACUGUCGAUGGUAGUUUAUGUGCCUACCAUGGUUGUAACGGGUAACGGAGAAUAAGGGUUCGACUCCGGAGAGGGAGCCUGAGAAACGGCUACCACAUCCAAGGAAGGCAGCAGGCGCGCAAAUUACCCACUCUCGGCAUGAGGAGGUAGUGACGAAAAAUAACGAGACCGUUCUCUAUGAGGCCGGUUAUCGGAAUGGGUACAAUUUAAACCCGUUAACGAGGAUCUAUGAGAGGGCAAGUCUGGUGCCAGCAGCCGCGGUAAUUCCAGCUCUCAAAGUGUAUAUCGUCAUUGCUGCGGUUAAAAAGCUCGUAGUUGGAUCUGCGCCUCAGGACCUGGUCCGCCCACUGGGUGAGAACUGGGCUCCUGGGCUAGUUCUGCUGGUUUUCCCUGCGUUGCCUUCAUCGGUAGCGUAGGGUGGCUAGCGAGUUUACUUUGAAAAAAUUAGAGUGCUUCACGCGGGCUUAUGUCUGAAUACUCGUGCAUGGAAUAAUAGAAUAGGAUCUCGGCUCUAUUUUGUUGGUUUUCUGAUCUGAGAUAAUGGUUAAGAGGGACGGACGGGGGCAUUCGUAUCGCUGCGUGAGAGGUGAAAUUCUUGGACCGUAGCGAGACGUCCGACUGCGAAAGCAUUUGCCAAGAAUGUCUUCAUUAAUCAAGAACGAAAGUCAGAGGUUCGA